AGUGAACGCUGGCGGUAGGCCUAACACAUGCAAGUUGAACGGCAGCACAGUAAGAGCUUGCUCUUACGGGUGGCGAGUGGCGGACGGGUGAGGAAUACAUCGGAAUCUACUUUUUCGUGGGGGAUAACGUAGGGAAACUUACGCUAAUACCGCAUACGACCUACGGGUGAAAGCAGGGGAUCUUCGGACCUUGCGCGAUUGAAUGAGCCGAUGUCGGAUUAGCUAGUUGGCGGGGUAAAGGCCCACCAAGGCGACGAUCCGUAGCUGGUCUGAGAGGAUGAUCAGCCACACUGGAACUGAGACACGGUCCAGACUCCUACGGGAGGCAGCAGUGGGGAAUAUUGGACAAUGGGCGCAAGCCUGAUCCAGCCAUACCGCGUGGGUGAAGAAGGCCUUCGGGUUGUAAAGCCCUUUUGUUGGGAAAGAAAAGCAGCAGGUUAAUACCCCGCUGUUCGGACGGUACCCAAAGAAUGAGCACCGGCUAACUUCGU
rnacentral:rRNA from 1 species